GCAUUUUCUCUGAGACAGCUGCCAUUCUAGUCUCCCAGCCAUUCUUAGGAAGAGACGUGCCUGUCUCUGGGAAGAGGCAACUUCUCUGCAUGUCAGAGGUCUGUUACAUUUCCCAGAAUGGUUCCCAGUGCUGGAGAUAAUUCCUUUUCGGAGAACCUACAUUUCUCACCUGCUGAUUGCAAUUAGCCACUACCAGCUGGGGCCUGGUGUGCAGCUGAAAAGCUAACAAGAAGUGGAGACCACGCGGAACUCAGACAGGGCAUAGGAUGUGCAUAAAUAAGCAACGGUGCCUGUGUUUAUGAGAUGCUCCUGUGAAUUCGAGGCUUCCCCACCCUCUGCAUAACUCUCCCUCUUCUGGCUUUGUGCUGCACACCCCUCCCCUAACUAUAUUUUUUGUCUCUGGUUUUGUAGCCUACGUUUAACAUCACAGUCACGAAUUUACCACUAAGUACAUUUUGUUAGGCAAUAAACAGCCUUGGAAGAAAAAUGAAA